rnacentral:other from 1 species
CGUUCCCUGGGGUGUUUGCCAGCUAAUCCAGUCCCCUGAGCCGAUUUCAUUACUACGGGAAGUUCGCGCGAUAGUUGUGUGCAUGUCCGCCCGACGGAAAGCCUGAUACUGUUUCCGUGCUUCCCCCUUGAACCUUUGGGUUCAAGGGUUACGAUUGGCAGCGGCACCUCGGAGAACAU